UACAGAGGUCCCAAGCGUUGUUCGGAUUCAUUGGGCGUAAAGGGUGCGUAGGCGGCGCGGUAAGUCGGGUGUGAAAUCUCGGGGCUUAACUCCGAAACUGCAUUCGAUACUGCCGUGCUUGAGGACUGGAGAGGAGACUGGAAUUUACGGUGUAGCGGUGAAAUGCGUAGAUAUCGUUAAGGAAGACCAGUGGCGAAGGCGGGUCUCUGGACAGUUCCUGACGCUGAGGCACGAAGGCCAGGGGAGCAAACGGG
rnacentral:rRNA from 1 species